rnacentral:rRNA from 1 species
GGGAUAACAGUUAGAAAUGACUGCUAAUACCGCAUAAGCGCACAGGACCGCAUGGUCCGGUGUGAAAAACUCCGGUGGUAUGAGAUGGACCCGCGUCUGAUUAGCUGGUUGGCGGGGUAACGGCCCACCAAGGCGACGAUCAGUAGCCGACCUGAGAGGGCGGCCGGCCACAUUGGGACUGAGACACGGCCCAAACUCCUACGGGAGGCAGCAGUGGGGAAUAUUGCACAAUGGGGGAAACCCUGAUGCAGCAACGCCGCGUGAGUGAAGAAGUAUUUCGGUAUGUAAAGCUCUAUCAGCAGGGAAGAAAAAAGACGGUACCUGACUAAGAAGCCCCGGCUAACUACGUGCCAGCAGCCGCGGUAAUACGUAGGGGGCAAGCGUUAUCCGGAUUUACUGGGUGUAAAGGGAGCGUAGACGGCAUAGCAAGUCUGAAGUGAAAGCCCGUGGCUCAACCGCGGAACUGCUUUGGAAACUGUUAAGCUGGAGUACUGGAGAGGCAAGCGGAAUUCCUAGUGUAGCGGUGAAAUGCGUAGAUAUUAGGAGGAACACCAGUGGCGAAGGCGGCUUGCUGGACAGAGACUGACGUUGAGGCU